rfam:Streptomyces mangrovisoli strain MTSC 149 159, whole genome shotgun sequence.
GCGUGGGUCGGCCCGCUGUACUGGAUCCAGUGGGCUGGGGGACACCGCCGCCUCCAUCCCCGCGGGCGGCGGACCGGUCCGGGAGGCGGGCUCCGCCUCCCGGACUGAG